rnacentral:rRNA from 1 species
GAUCAUAGCUCAUAUUGAACGCUGGCGGAAUGCUUUACACAUGCAAGUCGAACGGCAGCACGGACUUCGGUCUGGUGGCGAGUGGCGAACGGGUGAGUAACAUAUCGGAACGUAUCCAAUAAUGGGGGAUAACUAAUCGAAAGGUUGGCUAAUACCGCAUACGCCCUACGGGGAAAGCUAGGGACCUUCGGGCCUGGCGUUAAUGGAGCGGCCGAUAUCUGAUUAGCUAGUUGGUGAGGUAAAGGCUC